rnacentral:rRNA from 1 species
UACAGAGGUCUCAAGCGUUGUUCGGAUUCAUUGGGCGUAAAGGGUGCGUAGGCGGUCGCGUAAGUCCGGUGUGAAAUCUCAGGGCUCAACCCUGAAACUGCACUUGAUACUGCGUGGCUCGAGUACUGGAGAGGAGACUGGAAUUUACGGUGUAGCAGUGAAAUGCGUAGAUAUCGUAAGGAAGACCAGUGGCGAAGGCGAGUCUCUGGACAGUUACUGACACUGAGGCACGAAGGCCAGGGGAGCAAACGGG